GGGCAUGUAGCUCAGUGGUAGAGACCUUGCCUAGCAUGCAGGAGGCCCUGGGUUCAAGCCCCAGUGCCCC
rnacentral:tRNA from 1 species